rnacentral:lncRNA from 1 species
GCUCCCUUGAACUAUCUGGGAAAGCCCAUCCUGCAAACUCGUUUGCAAACUCCUCCCAAGACAUGCUGUCUACUCUGGGGUUCACAUAAUUCUUGAACCACUCUCGUGCCUUCUUGCACUUAAGCGUGAACCCAGCCAUCUGAAUGGCUCUACUGUCAUCAACCCCAAUCUCAUCUGUGAUCACCUUAACCCUUUCAAGAUACACAAAUGGGUCAUCCCCUUUUUCAUACUGAGGAGAACCCAAUUUCAUGUAGUCGGUCA